AGUGAACGCUGGCGGUAGGCCUAACACAUGCAAGUCGAACGGCAGCACAGUAAGAGCUUGCUCUUACGGGUGGCGAGUGGCGGACGGGUGAGGAAUACAUCGGAAUCUACUUUUUCGUGGGGGAUAACGUAGGGAACCUACCCCUAAACCCCCCUCCACCCUAGGGGGGAAACAAGGGGAUCUUCGAACCUUCGGGGAUUUAAGGGCCCGAUGUCGGAUUAGCUAGUUGGCGGGGUAAGGGCCCACCAAGGCGACGAUCCGUAGCUGGUCUGAGAGGAUGAUCAGCCACACUGGAACUGAGACACGGUCCAGACUCCUACGGGAGGCAGCAGUGGGGAAUAUUGGACAAUGGGCGCAAGCCUGAUCCAGCCAUACCGCGUGGGUGAAGAAGGCCUUCGGGUUGUAAAGCCCUUUUGUUGGGAAAGAAAAGCAGCAGGUUAAUACCCCGCUGUUCUGACGGUACCCAAAGAAUAAGCACCGGCUAACUUCGUG
rnacentral:rRNA from 1 species